rnacentral:lncRNA from 1 species
AGGGAUCUAAUUAUACUCUACUCUUUCUCUCCAGAGAAUUCGCUGAAUGAAGGGUUAUUCCACUGAAGUCAGUACUGCCAUAUAGUACAAAAUUAGAGUCAUAAAGGAGAACAGUUGUUUCCUGAUCCUCUGGUGGAAAAAAAAAAAAAGAGAACACAAGGACAAAGUGGAAGAAUAAAAAAGUGGAAUGUAAUGGAAGAUCCUUGUAUUCUCAAGGCAUCGUAGAAACAAUGGAUAACAAUUGACAAAAUGUAAAUUCCCUGGAUACAUGCAAAGAUUAUGGGGAAGAAAAAGAAUAAAAAUUGCCAGACGGAACCUCAUGUACUUAGUCAGGGCAGGACACUGCUUAGGAUAACCACUGCUGCCAG